GGGGCUGAUUUUGGAUUCGACGGGAUUUACGAAGUCUGAGGUGCAUGCCGAGUUGCAGUAGUACUCGUUAAAAAACUGCAAAAAAUAGUCGCAAACGACGAAAACUACGCUUUAGCAGCUUAAUAUCCUGUUUAAAGCCUUCUCUCUCUAGCCUUUGCUCUUAGGAAGGAGAUUAAAGAGGAGUCAAACCAAAAGAGAUCGCGUAUAUAACUUACCUGUGGUUAAAACGUUAAAAAUAAUCAGGCUAGUUUGUUAGUAGAAUGUCUAUUAUCAGCUAACAAACAAAUAUAGAAAAUAGACUAAGCAUGUAGUGCUAAUGAUGUAGAAAUUUCGGACGCGGGUUCAACUCCCGCCAGCUCCAUUA
rnacentral:tmRNA from 1 species